rnacentral:rRNA from 1 species
AUUGAACGCUGGCGGCAGGCCUAACACAUGCAAGUCGAACGAGUGGCGGACGGGUGAUUAAUGUCUGGGAAACUGCCCGAUGGAGGUGGAUAACUACUGGAAACGGUAGCUAAUACCGCAUCCCAUCGGAUGUGCCCAGAUGGGAUUAGCUGGUAGGUGGGGUAACGGCUCACCUAGGCGACGAUCCCUAGCUGGUCUGAGAGGAUGACCAGCCACACUGGAACUGAGACACGGUCCAGACUCCUACGGGAGGCAGCAGUGGGGAAUAUUGCACAAUGGGCGAAAGCCUGAUGCAGCCAUGCCGCGUGUAUGAAGAAGGCCUUCGGGUUGUAAAGUACUUUAAGCGAGGAGGCGUUACUCGCAGAAGAAGCACCGGCUAACUCCGUGCCAGCAGCCGCGGUAAUAC